rnacentral:rRNA from 1 species
CCUACGGGAGGCUGCAGUGAGGAAUAUUGGUCAAUGGGCGCGAGCCUGAACCAGCCAAGUCGCGUGAGGGAGGACGGCCCUACGGGUUGUAAACCUCUUUUGCCGGGGAGCAACGGGCGUCACGUGUGGCGCCACUGAGAGUACCCGGAGAAAAAGCAUCGGCUAACUCCGUGCCAGCAGCCGCGGUAAUACGGAGGAUGCGAGCGUUAUCCGGAUUUAUUGGGUUUAAAGGGUGCGUAGGCGGAUCGUUAAGUCAGUGGUCAAAUUGAGGGGCUCAACCCCUUCCCGCCAUUGAAACUGGCGUUCUUGAGUGGAAGAGAGGAAUGCGGAAUGCGUGGUGUAGCGGUGAAAUGCAUAGAUAUCACGCAGAACCCCGAUUGCGAAGGCAGCAUGCCGGCUUCCGACUGACGCUGAGGCACGAAAGCGUGGGGAUCGAACAGGAUUAGAUACCCCUGUAGUC